rnacentral:rRNA from 1 species
GUGGGGAAUAUUGGACAAUGGGCGCAAGCCUGAUCCAGCCAUGCCGCGUGUGUGAAGAAGGCCUUCGGGUUGUAAAGCACUUUUGUUGGGGAAGAAAAGCACUGGGUUAAUACCUUGGUGUCAUGACGGUACCCAAAGAAUAAGCACCGGCUAACUUCGUGCCAGCAGCCGCGGUAAUACGAAGGGUGCAAGCGUUACUCGGAAUUACUGGGCGUAAAGCGUGCGUAGGCGGUUUGUUAAGUCUGAUGUGAAAGCCCUGGGCUCAACCUGGGAAUGGCAUUGGAUACUGGCAACCUAGAAUGUGGUAGAGGGUGGCGGAAUUCCCGGUGUAGCAGUGAAAUGCGUAGAUAUCGGGAGGAACAUCCGUGGCGAAGGCGGCCACCUGGACCAACAUUGACGCUGAGGCACGAAAGCGUGGGGAGCAAACAGGAUUAGAUACCCCUGUAGUCC